GUCGGUAGCGCUCCUUGGACUCGUCGCUCGCACCUUGCUGAUUAAUUAUCUUCUCGGUUUCUCUUCCGUGAUGGCAGUUGUCCACAACCGGACCUCCCCCCUGGGUCACGCCGCCCCUGCCGCCUACACCCACUGCCACGCCGCUGGAUCUCCACCCCCACCCUCUCCGCUCCACUGGAUCCCCGCACGCCGCACCACCCCCGGCCAUGGGUGCUGGCUACCCGCCUCCCCCUCCCCCAGCUCCCCCGGAUCCUUGCACCACCAGGCCAUGGCGAUGGCUGCUCCCCUCGCCGGGAAUCCCCGCUCCUCCGGCCAUGAAGGGCUCCUCUAGCUCCGGCCGUGCGCUCCAGCACCGACAGCCACUCUCGUACUCGUGUAGUUCAACUGCAACCCCACCAUCGGAUGCGCGGCCAUGGCAUGCCGACAUGCCGUCCCGGCGCAAGUCCUUUUCUCUGUAUCUUGACCUCGGACCUUUUUUUUCUGUAUCUUCAAAUUGGCUCUCUCCCCUCUCUUUUUUUGGAUUUCACGCUUCAACUGUUCGUGACCUUCCUCCCAAGUCUGCUUCCGCAUUUUUGGUUGGUGAAGCAUGCCAUUGUUCUUCAUUUCAAUCCAAAUCAGACAUGGGUCGGUUUCGCGCGCGAGCACGGCAGCCCCUGAGCAACAUUUCAAUGCUCGCACUUCCUAGGAACCAGGAGCCCCACGACCGCUUCCCUUUCUUCAGCUCGCUGCCGAGCGUCUCCAGCCAAGACGUGACGUCGAGAGAUGGCCAUGGCCGCCCGAUGCCGGAGCACCGCCGGCCAAGGACCUGCCGCCAUCCAGACCCCCUCCACGCCAUCUCCAUCUCGCCGGAGACCUGCACCAAGUCCCAUCCAGCGCCUUCGCCACCCUUCGGCCCCCACCCCGUAGGUCUGCAGCCUGAGCGCUUCAACCGACUUGUGCCUGAAGCAGAGGAGAGGAGCUCCCUGCCACGAGCCUCUCUGGCGCUGGCAACCCAGCAGGCUGACCUCGCCUCCUUCUUCCUUUUUUUCCGCCGCGACGCAUCACCCCUUCGCUGUCUCCUACGGCGUGGACGCCGACGACAAGCGGUGGCCCGUACCCGGCGGUGGAGAACGAGGUGAAGCAGUUUAAUUAAGGAUCGCGGGUAGGAUUGUAACUAAUGCAGGGUUGUUUUUGUAAAAGCGAAGCGUUUUCUGAUAUACCCACUUAAAAUAGGAUGGCAGGUUGAAUUCUAAUAAAUGGGGGACUUUUCUGGAAAAAGGCCGACGACGUACGACAGAAACCGAAUUUACUUUAUUAUUAUUUGGUAAAGAGUAAAGAUAUAUAUAUAUAUAUAUAUAUAUAUAGGGAAAAUUCAUCCUACCAUCCGGUGGUAGUUACCCCACAUGUCUCAUAUACUAGCAUGUGGUACUAUAUAUACUAUUUUAUUAUUUUAAAUAUGUUUAUAUACUAUAUCUAAGAUAUUUCAAAACAAAUUACAUGAAAAAAUUGCAUAUGAGUCCAUAGUUUUUGUUAUAUUUGUGAAAUACGUACAUAUUUGUACAUAAAAAAGAGCAUACUCAAAAAAUGGUACAUACUACUUAAAAAUUUGUAUAUAUACUACCUAAUCAUUGUUAUAUACUAUAUACUACACGUACAUACUCUCGGUUUUGAUAGAUACUACAUACAACAUACAAAACGCAAGUGGUGGUAACUACCACUGCUCGUAGGAAACAUAUAUAUAUAUAUAUACAUAUAUAUAUAUAGGAAAAAUGCCUUCUAUCACCUAGUGGUAACUACCACCUAAGAAUCCACCGUCGAUCUUUUGUCAUUAGAUCUGGGCUUGGUUUGUUUUUUUUCUUUGAUUGCUACAGAAUCUUAACCAGUUAGGCUAGCUUCCACCCGACCUGUUUCAUUAUUAAUUAUAUUCAUUAGAUUAAUUGGUGGUUAUCCAUGGCGUACUCAUCUUAUCCGAGAAAAUUUGAAUGCAUGACUAUCUUUUCAUACGUCCUUAUCCGGCUACUAAUCAACUUUGCAAUCUUUUCCACGUAAAAAUAGAUUUAUUAGUAUACUCUGGUUACGAACCAAAACAGUUUUAUUUGCUCGACCUCCCAUUCUACCUGGGCGACACCUCCCUCAACGCCUGGAGACGGCGGAUCGGCGUCUUCGCCGUGGGUCACACCGGCUGGACGGCACAUUUGAUGCAGUGCAAACCACGGUUGGCUGACGUCGUUCUUUAGUACCACACAAUUCAGGUAACUAAGUAUGCGUAGCGAGAUCAUAGGUUGUUCAAACUUCCAUCUCAAAAGAAUUCAUACGGUUCCUCUUUGUUGCCUAUGUCCCAGUUUUUUUGGUUAUGGCCAACGAUGGUCAAUUUCAACCAAUUUGAUCAGGAGCAUCUGGUGUACAUAAUCUCUCCUAAUUGGUUUCUUUGUUAUCUCAUUUUUUUUCUCAUCUACAGCAUGAUUUCGAGGGUCCAAAUAUGACGACAGGUACAUGAAGGCCGGCAUGCAUAAAGAGGAUGACAAGGCGAAGUUAGAUUCUGCACGCAGCACCACUGGAUACUUCAUAUAGUACGACCUGCACCCGUGCACCCCGCAGCUACGAUUACGGCUCCACGUAUUAGUCGUGUGGUGCAUCUCUAGUAAACUAGACGAGGCUUGUAUCGCAGCUACGGCAGUACGCGCAUGAAUCAUUGAUGAAUGAAGCAACUGAGACACAUCGCUGCCAUCGUUAAUCAUCGUGCGGUGGUAUCUGCUACGAACUACAAAGUCAAAGGCAUAGAUCUUUGUUGCGUGCCUACUUGCCUUUGAUGCAUGCACCACACCAUGUCUG
rnacentral:rRNA from 1 species